ACCAACACAAAACCAAAGAAGAAAGACAAGUUACCAGA
rnacentral:misc_RNA from 1 species